GGCGGAUUAGGUAGUUGGUGGGGUAACGGCCCACCAAGCCUAAGAUCCGUACGGGCUGUGGGAGCAGGAGCCCGGAGAUGGACCCUGAGACAAGGGUCCAGGCCCUACGGGGCGCAGCAGGCGCGAAACCUCCGCAAUGCGGGAAACCGCGACGGGGUUAGCCGGAGUGCCCGUGCAUUGCACGGGCUGUCGGGGUGCCUAAACAGCACCCCAUAGCAAGGGCCGGGCAAGGCCGGUGGCAGCCGCCGCGGUAAGACCGGCGGCCCGAGUGGCGGCCACUCUUAUUGGGCCUAAAGCGUCCGUAGCCGGCCCAGUAAGUCCCCCGGGAAAUCUGGUCGCUUAACGAUCAGACUUCCGGGGGAUACUGCUGGGCUAGGGACCGGGAGAGGCCGAGGGUAUUCCCGGGGUAGGGGUGAAAUCCUGUAAUCCCGGGAGGACCACCUGUGGCGAAGGCGCUCGGCUGGAACGGGUCCGACGGUGAGGGACGAAGGCCUGGGGAGCGAACCGGAUUAGAUACCCGGGUAGUCCAGGCUGUAAACGAUGCGGGCUAGGUGUCACCGGAGCUACGAGCUCCGGUGGUGCCGGAGGGAAGCCGUUAAGCCCGCCGCCUGGGAAGUACGGCCGCAAGGCUGAAACUUAAAGGAAUUGACGG
rnacentral:rRNA from 1 species